rnacentral:rRNA from 1 species
CUGGUGAGUAACACGUGGGUAAUCUACCUGUUGAUGGGGAAUAACCCUGGGAAACCGGGGCUAAUACCGCAUAAGCCCGAGAGGGGAAAGAAGCAAUUCGUCGACAGAGGAGCCCGCGGCUGAUUAGCUAGUUGGUGGGGUAAAAGCCCACCAAGGCUUCGAUCGGUAGCCGGCCUGAGAGGGCACACGGCCACACUGGCACUGAAACACGGGCCAGACUCCUACGGGAGGCAGCAGUGGGGAAUCUUGCACAAUGGGGGAAACCCUGAUGCAGCGACGCCGCGUGAGCGAUGAAGGCCUUCGGGUUGUAAAGCUCUUUCGGCAGGGACGAUUAUGACGGUACCUGAAGAAGAAGCUGCGGCUAACUACGUGCCAGCAGCCGCGGUAAUACGUAGGCAGCAAGCGUUGUUCGGAAUUACUGGGCGUAAAGAGUGCGUAGGCGGUGCCUUAAGUCCUGUGUGAAAUCUCCCGGCUUAACUGGGAGGGUGCGCCGGAUACUGAGGUGCUCGAGUGUGGGAAAGGCAGGCGGAAUUCCUGGUGUAGCGGUGAAAUGCGUAGAUAUCAGGAGGAACGCCGGCGGUGUAGACGGCCUGCUGGACCACUACUGACGCUGAGGCACGAAAGCGUGGGGAGCAAACAGGAUUAGAUACCCUGGUAGUCCACGCCCUAAACGAUGCAUACUUGGUGUAAGUCAUUCAUUUGAUUUGUGCCGGAGCUAACGCGUUAAGUAUGCCGCC